rnacentral:rRNA from 1 species
CGCUGGCGGCGCGCCUAACACAUGCAAGUCGAACGAGAGAUGAGGAGCUUGCUCUUCAAAUCGAGUGGCGAACGGGUGAGUAACGCGUGAGGAACCUGCCUCAAAGAGGGGGACAACAGUUGGAAACGACUGCUAAUACCGCAUAAGCCCACGGCUCGGCAUCGAGCAGAGGGAAAAGGAGCAAUCCGCUUUGAGAUGGCCUCGCGUCCGAUUAGCUAGUUGGUGAGGUAAUGGCCCACCAAGGCGACGAUCGGUAGCCGGACUGAGAGGUUGAACGGCCACAUUGGGACUGAGACACGGCCCAGACUCCUACGGGAGGCAGCAGUGGGGAAUAUUGCACAAUGGGGGAAACCCUGAUGCAGCGACGCCGCGUGGAGGAAGAAGGUCUUCGGAUUGUAAACUCCUGUUGUUGAGGAAGAUAAUGACGGUACUCAACAAGAAAGUGACGGCUAACUACGUGCCAGCAGCCGCGGUAAAACGUAGGUCACAAGCGUUGUCCGGAAUUACUGGGUGUAAAGGGAGCGCAGGCGGGAGAACAAGUUGGAAGUGAAAUCCAUGGGCUCAACCCAUGAACUGCUUUCAAAACUGUUUUUCUUGAGUAGUGCAGAGGUAGGCGGAAUUCCCGGUGUAGCGGUGGAAUGCGUAGAUAUCGGGAGGAACACCAGUGGCGAAGGCGGCCUACUGGGCACCAACUGACGCUGAGGCUCGAAAGUGUGGGUAGCAAACAGGAUUAGAUACCCUGGUAGUCCACACCGUAAACGAUGAUUACUAGGUGUUGGAGGAUUGACCCCUUCAGUGCCGCAGUUAACACAAUAAGUAAUCCACCUGGGGAGUACGACCGCAAGGUUGAAACUCAAAGGAAUUGACG